GGUGCUAUGCCAGAUAAAAUGGGGUACUUUGAUGUUGUAUUUAUGCGGUUUUCCGCUAGUGCCU
rnacentral:tRNA from 1 species